AGCGAACAGACGAGGAGCUUGCUCCUCUGACGUUAGCGGCGGACGGGUGAGUAACACGUGGAUAACCUACCUAUAAGACUGGGAUAACUUCGGGAAACCGGAGCUAAUACCGGAUAAUAUAUUGAACCGCAUGGUUCAAUAGUGAAAGACGGUUUUGCUGUCACUUAUAGAUGGAUCCGCGCCGCAUUAGCUAGUUGGUAAGGUAACGGCUUACCAAGGCAACGAUGCGUAGCCGACCUGAGAGGGUGAUCGGCCACACUGGAACUGAGACACGGUCCAGACUCCUACGGGAGGCAGCAGUAGGGAAUCUUCCGCAAUGGGCGAAAGCCUGACGGAGCAACGCCGCGUGAGUGAUGAAGGUCUUCGGAUCGUAAAACUCUGUUAUUAGGGAAGAACAAAUGUGUAAGUAACUAUGCACGUCUUGACGGUACCUAAUCAGAAAGCCACGGCUAACUACGUGCCAGCAGCCGCGGUAAUACGUAGGUGGCAAGCGUUAUCCGGAAUUAUUGGGCGUAAAGCGCGCGUAGGCGGUUUUUUAAGUCUGAUGUGAAAGCCCACGGCUCAACCGUGGAGGGUCAUUGGAAACUGGAAAACUUGAGUGCAGAAGAGGAAAGUGGAACUCCAUGUGUAGCGGUGAAAUGCGCAGAGAUAUGGAGGAACACCAGUGGCGAAGGCGACUUUCUGGUCUGUAACUGACGCUGAUGUGCGAAAGCGUGGGGAUCAAACAGGAUUAG
rnacentral:rRNA from 1 species